rnacentral:rRNA from 1 species
UACGUAGGGUGCAAGCGUUAUCCGGAAUUAUUGGGCGUAAAGAGCUCGUAGGCGGUUUGUCGCGUCUGCUGUGAAAACCGGAGGCUCAACCUCCGGCCUGCAGUGGGUACGGGCAAACUAGAGUGCGGUAGGGGAGAUUGGAAUUCCUGGUGUAGCGGUGGAAUGCGCAGAUAUCAGGAGGAACACCAAUGGCGAAGGCAGCUCGCUGGGACGGUACUGACGCUGAGACGCGAAAGCGUGGGGAGCAAACAGG